CACGUAGGCACCAAGCGUUGUUCGGAUUUAUUGGGCGUAAAGGGCUCGUAGGCGGUUCGGUAAGUCGGGUGUGAAAACUCUGGGCUCAACCCAGAGCCGCCACCCGAUACUGCUGUGACUCGAGUGCGGUAGGGGAGCGGGGAAUUCCUGGUGUAGCGGUGAAAUGCGCAGAUAUCAGGAGGAACACCAGUGGCGAAGGCGCCGCUCUGGGCCGUGACUGACGCUGAAGAGCGAAAGCGUGGGUAGCAAACAGG
rnacentral:rRNA from 1 species